CCUACGGGCGGCAGCAGUGGGGAAGAUUGGGCAAUGGGCGCAAGCCUGACCCAGCAAUGCCGCGUGAAGGAAGAAGGCUUUCGGGUUGUAAACUUCUUUGACAGGGGAAGAGCAGAAGACGGUACCCGGAAAACAAGCCACGGCUAACGACGUGCCAGCAGCCGAGGUAAUACGUAGGUGGCAAGCGGUGUCCGGAUUUACUGGGUGUAAAGGGCGUGUAGCCUGGAAGGCAAGUCAGAUGUGAAAUCCGGAGGCUCAACCUCCGAAUGGCAUUUGAAACUGUUUUUCUUGAGUACUGGAGAGGCCGACGGACUUCCUUGUGUAGCGGUGACAUGCGUAGAUAUAAGGCG
rnacentral:rRNA from 1 species